rnacentral:lncRNA from 1 species
UCUAAUUCCCAUUUAUCCGACAUCGUUAGAUUACACAAGGAAUAUAAAAAAAAAGGAAAAUUGCCUAUAUUUGUAACAUUGGAAUUUGCUAUAUUCUCUGUUAUAAUCCGUUGGAAAAAAGGUUAGUUACUGUUGGUUGUCUUUCCCGUUUUCUUGCAACCAUUGACCUCUUCAACCAUUCAUUUCUUCAACAAACUUAAAACAACAUUACCUCGCCGUUUUGCUUUGUAGUACCAGUCGUUUUGUCUUACAAUUCUUUACGACCUCCACCCUAUAUAAUUUUUUUUUAUAUUUAUCCAACAUGCAGCCC